rnacentral:rRNA from 1 species
GAUGAACGCUGGCGGCGUGCCUAAUACAUGCAAGUCGAGCGAACAGACGAGGAGCUUGCUCCUCUGACGUUAGCGGCGGACGGGUGAGUAACACGUGGAUAACCUACCUAUAAGACUGGGAUAACUUCGGGAAACCGGAGCUAAUACCGGAUAACAUGUUGAACCGCAUGGUUCAACAGUGAAAGACGGUCUUGCUGUCACUUAUAGAUGGAUCCGCGCCGCAUUAGCUAGUUGGUAAGGUAACGGCUUACCAAGGCAACGAUGCGUAGCCGACCUGAGAGGGUGAUCGGCCACACUGGAACUGAGACACGGUCCAGACUCCUACGGGAGGCAGCAGUAGGGAAUCUUCCGCAAUGGGCGAAAGCCUGACGGAGCAACGCCGCGUGAGUGAAGAAGGUCUUCGGAUCGUAAAACUCUGUUAUUAGGGAAGAACAAAUGUGUAAGUAACUAUGCACGUCUUGACGGUACCUAAUCAGAAAGCCACGGCUAACCACGUG